rnacentral:rRNA from 1 species
UUGAACGCUGGCGGCAGGCCUAACACAUGCAAGUCGAGCGGUAGCACAGAGAGCUUGCUCUCGGGUGACGAGCGGCGGACGGGUGAGUAAUGUCUGGGAAACUGCCUGAUGGAGGGGGAUAACUACUGGAAACGGUAGCUAAUACCGCAUAACGUCGCAAGACCAAAGUGGGGGACCUUCGGGCCUCAUGCCAUCAGAUGUGCCCAGAUGGGAUUAGCUAGUAGGUGGGGUAACGGCUCACCUAGGCGACGAUCCCUAGCUGGUCUGAGAGGAUGACCAGCCACACUGGAACUGAGACACGGUCCAGACUCCUACGGGAGGCAGCAGUGGGGAAUAUUGCACAAUGGGCGCAAGCCUGAUGCAGCCAUGCCGCGUGUGUGAAGAAGGCCUUCGGGUUGUAAAGCACUUUCAGCGGGGAGGAAGGCGGUGAGGUUAAUAACCUCACCGAUUGACGUUACCCGCAGAAGAAGCACCGGCUAACUCCGUGCCAGCAGCCGCGGUAAUACGGAGGGUGCAAGCGUUAAUCGGAAUUACUGGGCGUAAAGCGCACGCAGGCGGUCUGUCAAGUCGGAUGUGAAAUCCCCGGGCUCAACCUGGGAACUGCAUUCGAAACUGGCAGGCUAGAGUCUUGUAGAGGGGGGUAGAAUUCCAGGUGUAGCGGUGAAAUGCGUAGAGAUCUGGAGGAAUACCGGUGGCGAAGGCGGCCCCCUGGACAAAGACUGACGCUCAGGUGCGAAAGCGUGGGGAGCAAACAGGAUUAGAUACCCUGGUAGUCCACGCCGUAAACGAUGUCGAUUUGGAGGUUGUGCCCUUGAGGCGUGGCUUCCGGAGCUAACGCGUUAAAUCGACCGCCUGGGGAGUACGGCCGCAAGGUUAAAACUCAAAUGAAUUGACGGGGGCCCGCACAAGCGGUGGAGCAUGUGGUUCAAUUCGAUGCAACGCGAAGAACCUUACCUGGUCUUGACAUCCACAGAACUUUCCAGAGAUGGAUUGGUGCCUUCGGGAACUGUGAGACAGGUGCUGCAUGGCUGUCGUCAGCUCGUGUUGUGAAAUGUUGGGUUAAGUCCCGCAACGAGCGCAACCCUUAUCCUUUGUUGCCAGCGGUUAGGCCGGGAACUCAAAGGAGACUGCCAGUGAUAAACUGGAGGAAGGUGGGGAUGACGUCAAGUCAUCAUGGCCCUUACGACCAGGGCUACACACGUGCUACAAUGGCAUAUACAAAGAGAAGCGACCUCGCGAGAGCAAGCGGACCUCAUAAAGUAUGUCGUAGUCCGGAUUGGAGUCUGCAACUCGACUCCAUGAAGUCGGAAUCGCUAGUAAUCGUAGAUCAGAAUGCUACGGUGAAUACGUUCCCGGGCCUUGUACACACCGCCCGUCACACCAUGGGAGUGGGUUGCAAAAGAAGUAGGUAGCUUAACCUUCGGGAGGGCGCUUACCACUUUGUGAUUCAUGACUGGGGUG